UUUACUUUUUUCUUCUUCUUUGAUUUCAUCUUCCUGUAUGGUGUCUGCGGCUGCGUCGAUCCUGGCCGGAAGGAUGAUGCUCGCGGUGAUUGGUUUCGCUUUCUCACGACCCUUCAGAGUUGUCGGGUUUAAUUAAACGGUUCUCGAUGUCAAUACAGAAGCUUGAUCUGCAGACAAAUCACGAUACAUAACGUAUCCAACCCAAAACGCGAAAGAGAUUUGAAGAAAAUACCGGUCUGUUAUGGGAGCACAAAAUCGAGAUUUAAUUAAAAAUCAUAGUGAAAAUAUCAACCACAAAAUUCAAUAAGAUUCAAACA